AUUGAACGCUGGCGGCAGGCCUAACACAUGCAAGUCGAACGAGUGGCGAGCGGGUGAGUAAUGUCUGGGAAACUGCCUGAUGGAGGGGGAUAACUACUGGAAACGGUAGCUAAUACCGCAUACCAUCAGAUGUGCCCAGAUGGGAUUCGCUUGUUGGUGGGGUAACGGCUCACCAAGGCGACGAUCCCUAGCUGGUCUGAGAGGAUGACCAGCCACACUGGAACGGAGACCCGCUCCAGACGCCGACGGGAGGAAGCAGUGGGGAAUAUUGCACAAGGGGGGCAAGCCGGAUGCAGCCAUGCGGCGGGUAUGAAGAAGGCCUUAGGGUUGUAAAGUAAUUUCAGCGGGGAGGCGUUACCCGAAGAAGAAGCACCGGCUAACUCCGUGCCAGCAGCCGCGGUAAUUC
rnacentral:rRNA from 1 species